rnacentral:misc_RNA from 1 species
GAUGAAGAACGUAGCGAAAUGCGAUAAGUAAUGUGAAUUGCAGAAUUCAGUGAAUCAUCGAAUCUUUGAACGCACAUUGCGCCCUCUGGUAUUCCGGGGGGCAUGCCUGUUCGAGCGUCAUUAUAACCACUCAAGCUCUCGCUUGGUAUUGGGGUUCGCGGUUCCGCGGCCCCUAAAAUCAGUGGCGGUGCCUGUCGGCUCUACGCGUAGUAAUACUCCUCGCGAUUGAGUCCGGUAGGUCUACUUGCCAGCAACCCCCAAUUUUUACAGGUUGACCUCGGAUCAGGUAGGGAUACCCGCUGAACUUAAGCAUAUCAAUAAGCGGAGGA